rnacentral:rRNA from 1 species
UGUGUAGGCGGUGCUCUAAGUUUGGUGUGAAAUCUCCCGGCUCAACUGGGAGGGUGCAUCGAAAACUGGGGUGCUCGAGGGUGGGAGAGGUAAGCGGAAUUCCUGGUGUAGCGGUGAAAUGCGUAGAUAUCAGGAGGAACACCUGUGGUGUAGACAGCUUACUGGACCACUUCUGACGCUGAGACACGAAAGCGUGGGUAGCAAACAGGAUUAGAUACCCUGGUAGUCCACGCCCUAAACGAUGCAUACUUGGUGUGAGUCAUUCAUUUGAUUCGUGCCGGAGCUAACGCGUUAAGUAUGCCGCCUGGGGAGUACGGUCGCAAGGCUGAA